UUUCUGUCUCUUCCACCAGGGGCUUCAGACUACAUGAGCUUGUUAUUUCAGCAGUCCCCUUUCUGGACUCUGAAGCUCGCAGCCCAACAUCAAGGCUUUGCAUAUUGGUAAAUACACAGAGAUGUGAAGACUAGAUAACAGAGGUGAAUGGUUGCCAUUUCAAGGAAUGGCCAGUUUCAGUGGCAAUCGAAGAACUGCAAGCAGUGAAUGCUUUAUACUCUCACAAGCAUUGGAGUCUUUGUUUCCUGCAGAUGUUGGCCCCCUAGGAGAUAUGCAGAGAUCUAAGUGGCAUUGGCAAUGUAUCUCUGCAUGUUGGCUGUUACCUCCAUAAGGUGAAAAAAAUUGAAAUGAACCAAGAAUGAGGAUUCUACUUGUAAAAAACUGAAAAUAUGAAUAAAUUUAGCAAGAUUAUUGUUAAGUUGUGACUU
rnacentral:lncRNA from 1 species